rnacentral:lncRNA from 1 species
UUGGAGUUUAAUUCUAUAUUCCUAUGUUUAAUUAUUUAUUUAGAUUUAUUUAGAUAAUGUUUUGGUUUUAUUUGAAUAAGUUUCUGUAACGUGUGUUGCUUGCAGUGAGAAUAGGUCUUCAGUAGUUAAGUUUGGAUAGGUUAGUCGUGGAGAUAUAUCAGGAGGUGCUCCUAGUUUUUAGUCAUCACCUUAGGUGAUGGGCUUUUAAAUAGUUUUAGUCUGCAGUAGUUAGUUCUUAUCUAUCCUGAUCAUUCAUUUGUACGUUGUAUUCUUUCCCCAAGUUAUAUACAGAAAAUGAGUCUUUGCUCACAGCCUUCUUGUCUUUCAAUUUUACUUAUAUAAACCACACACAUCCACGUUGAGUUUCUAACACUUGGUAUCAGAGCCAGGUUGUUUAUGCCAAAAUAUAUGCCGAGGUUGAUGACUAUGGAGACAUCAAAAAUCAAGGAGGGAACAGUGAGUAUAAAUUAUCCAAUGUUGUCAAAAUCCAACUACACGGCGUGGUCAAUGAAGAUGCAGGUCUUCAUGGAAGCUCAGGGAGUUUGGGAGGCUGUGGAGCCUAGUGACCCGGAGGUGAACGUUGAAAAACGGAUGGAUAAAAUGGCGCUGGCAGCAAUUUAUCAAGGCAUUCCAGAGGAGUUUAUGUUAACUCUGUCCGGUUUUUAGUCAUCACCUUAGGUGAUGGGCUUUUAAAUAGUUUUAGUCUGCAGUAGUUAGUUCUUAUCUCUCCUGAUCAUUCAUCUGUACGUUGUAUUCUUUCCCCAAGUUAUAUACAGAAAAUGAGUCUUUGCUCACAGCCUUCUUGUCUUUCAAUUUUACUUAUAUAAACCACACACAUCCACGUUGAGUUUCUAACACUUGGUAUCAGAGCGAGGUUGUUUAUGCCAAAAUAUAUGCCGAGGUUGAUGACUAUAGAGACAUCAAAAAUCAAGGAGGGAACAGUGAGUAUAAACUAUCCAAUGUUGUCAAAAUCCAACUACACGGCGUGGUCAAUGAAGAUGCAGGUCUUCAUGGAAGCUCAGGGAGUUUGGGAGGCUGUGGAGCCUAGUGACCCGGAGGUGAACGUUGAAAAAUGGAUGGAUAAAAUGGCGCUGGCAGCAAUUUAUCAAGGCAUUCCAGAGGAGUUUAUGUUAACUCUGUCCGGUAAGAAAACGGCUAAGGUGGCUUGGGAGGCAAUCAAGACAAUGUGUAUGGGGGUGGAACGAGUACAGGAGGCUAGGGUGUAGACAUUAAAGGGAGAAUUCGAGUCUCUCAUGAUGAAAGACUCAGAGAAGAUAGAAGAUUUCUGCUUGAAACUGAGUGGCAUUGUGACUAACAUUCGAGUUCUUGGAGAGGCUAUGGAAGAGUCCAGUGUUGUAAGGAAGAUUCUACGUGCUGUGCCUGAUAAGUUCCUCCAAAUAGCUUCAAACAUUGAACAAUUUGGAGAUGUUAAAGCCAUGUCAGUUGAGGAACUGGUGGGACGUCUCAAGGCCCAUGAAGAAAGAAUGAAAGGUAGGAGUGAGCAAAGUGAGCAACAACAACUUCUCUUAGCUAAGAAAUGGAAGGGCAGACUGGACAAGAGCAAGAUAAAAUGUUUCAAUUGCAACAUUUAUGGUCACUUCGCCUCAGAGUGUGACAAACGUCGACGAAAGAAAGAACACUGUCAAGAAGCAAAUCUAGCACAGCUUCAUGACGACGAACCAGCAUUGCUGUAGAGGCCAUAUGGGCCAACAAAGACAAGCCAUACGGGCUUGUGAAUAAUAGCCAUAAGGGCUGUGAAAGGGAUGCCAUAUGGGCAGGAAAUAAAUUGCCAGAGGGGCAAACAAGGAAGCCAAAAGGAGCUGUGAUCAGUGGUGCCAUAUGGGCACAGAAAGGCCACACGGGCUGGAUCAAUGUAUUUGCCAUACGGGCAUGAAGAAGCCGUUUCAGUUCAAGGCAUGCCAUACGGGUAGCUGAAGAAUUGAUAGAUAAUAUAGAAUUAAGGGGGAGAUUGUUGGAGUUUAAUUCUAUAUUCCUAUGUUUAAUUAUUUAUUUAGAUUUAUUUAGAUAAUGUUUUGGUUUUAUUUGAAUAAGUCUCUGUAACGUGUGUUGCUUGCAGUGAGAAUAGGUCUUCAGUAGUUAAGUUUGGAUAGGUUAGUCGUGGAGAUAUAUCAGGAGGUGCUCCUAGUUUUUAGUCAUCACCUUAGGUGAUGGGCUUUUAAAUAGUUUUAGUCUGCAGUAGUUAGUUCUUAUCUAUCCUGAUCAUUCAUUUGUACGUUGUAUUCUUUCCCCAAGUUAUAUACAGAAAAUGAGUCUUUGCUCACAGCCUUCUUGUCUUUCAAUUUUACUUAUAUAAACCACACACAUCCACGUUGAGUUUCUAACACUUGGUGUAAUCAAAUAUAAACCAGCUCCUUUUCAUCUCAGGCCCAUUCAGAUUUCAAACCUUGUACACCAAAGUACAAAUAGUAUAGAGAAAAUUUCAUGGCCCUAUAGCUCUUCUUCCAGAAACUAUGGUUCUUCCGAUAUGUUCACAAAUGAUUAGGAUUUGCAGAGGACGGUUUUGAGAUGGGCUUAUGAGGCUAUGAGCAAAGCGUCGUCAUUGUGUUCAGGAGCUUAAAUAAAGAGAGACUAAAAUAGUAUAUACAGAUUUUUAACAAGGCUGACUAGAUGGACAAAAAUAAUAAUCAUGUAUCAGCAUAUUGUAGAGGCUUUAAUGGUGCCCUCUGCUUUACACACAAAUAAGUGUCCAUUUAUUAGUAUUCUCGCUCAUAUAUCACUCCACUUCAGAAUCAAUCCUAUAUACGACAAUGAUGUGAACUUUCUGCUUAUGUGUAACUGUUAUAGUAGGAGCUUAUCGUGGGAGGAAGAGUUGUGCUUUUGUCAUUGUGUUUGUUGUGUACUUGCUCAGUUCUGCUCCAUGCAACUUUAGUCACUUUUCAACCCUCUUUUUCCUUUAUCUCAAAUAUUUAAACCUUUAGAAUAUAG